GAUGAACGCUGGCGGCGUGCCUAAUACAUGCAAGUCGAGCGAACGGACGUGAAGCUUGCUUCUCUGAUGUUAGCGGCGGACGGGUGAGUAACACGUGGAUAACCUACCUAUAAGACUGGGAUAACUUCGGGAAACCGGAGCUAAUACCGGAUGAUAUUUUGAACCGCAUGGUUCAAAAGUGAAAGACGGUCUUGCUGUCACUUAUAGAUGGAUCCGCGCUGCAUUAGCUAGUUGGUAAGGUAACGGCUUACCAAGGCAACGAUGCAUAGCCGACCUGGGAGGGUGAUCGGCCACACUGGAACUGAGACACGGCCCAGCCCCCUACGGGGGGCAGAAGAAGGGAGUCUUCCGCAGGGGGCGAAAGCCUGACGGAGCAGCCCCGCGUGAGUGAGGAAGGUUUUGGGAUCUAAAAACUUUUUUAUUGGGGAAGAAAAUUUGUGUAAGAACCUGUGAACAUCUUGACGGUACCUAAUAAAAAAGCCACGGCUAACUACGUG
rnacentral:rRNA from 1 species